UUGCUGCUUCGCUGACGAGUGGCGGACGGGUGAGUAAUGUCUGGGAAACUGCCUGAUGGAGGGGGAUAACUACUGGAAACGGUAGCUAAUACCGCAUAACGUCGCAAGACCAAAGAGGGGGACCUUCGGGCCUCUUGCCAUCGGAUGUGCCCAGAUGGGAUUAGCUAGUAGGUGGGGUAACGGCUCACCUAGGCGACGAUCCCUAGCUGGUCUGAGAGGAUGACCAGCCACACUGGAACUGAGACACGGUCCAGACUCCUACGGGAGGCAGCAGUGGGGAAUAUUGCACAAUGGGCGCAAGCCUGAUGCAGCCAUGCCGCGUGUAUGAAGAAGGCCUUCGGGUUGUAAAGUACUUUCAGCGGGGAGGAAGGCGACAAGGUUAAUAACCUUGUCGAUUGACGUUACCCGCAGAAGAAGCACCGGCUAACUCCGUGCCAGCAACCGCGGUAAUACGGAGGGUGCAAGCGUUAAUCGGAAUUACUGGGCGUAAAGCGCACGCAGGCGGUCUGUCAAGUCGGAUGUGAAAUCCCCGGGCUCAACCUGGGAACUGCAUUCGAAACUGGCAGGCUAGAGUCUUGUAGAGGGGGGUAGAAUUCCAGGUGUAGCGGUGAAAUGCGUAGAGAUCUGGAGGAAUACCGGUGGCGAAGGCGGCCCCCUGGACAAAGACUGACGCUCAGGUGCGAAAGCGUGGGGAGCAAACAGGAUUAGAUACCCUGGUAGUCCACGCCGUAAACGAUGUCGACUUGGAGGUUGUGCCCUUGAGGCGUGGCUUCCGGAGCUAACGCGUUAAGUCGACCGCCU
rnacentral:rRNA from 1 species